GGGACAGAAAGUAGCAUGGAAAGGAGGGCCCUGGAAGUGCUAGGGUGCUGAGGACAGCACUGAUGACACAAACCCUCCUGCCUCUACACCAUAGAACACCAUGUAGCCACUUAGAGAGAAGCUGAAGAAUGGUAGACAGUAAUCUGAAAUAAAGCACAUCCAUGGCACAUUGCUGUCACAACAUGUCCCUGAGGGGUCACCUUGUCCCCAAGAAGCCCUCAAAGGAGAGAGAGGAAAUGCCACAGAAUGAAAGAAGUGAGAGGAACUGC
rnacentral:lncRNA from 10 species